GCUGGCGGCACGCCUUAUACAUGCAAGUCGAACGAAGUAGCAAUACUUAGUGGCAGACGGGUGAGUAACAUGUAGGUAUCUACCCUUUGGUGAGGAAUAACACGAGGAAACUUGUGCUAAUACCUCAUAAGUCUUUACGGAGAAAGCUUUAUGCGCCGAAGGAUGAGCCUGCACUUGAUUAGUUUGUUGGUGGGGUAAUGGCCUACCAAGACUUUGAUCUAUAGCUGAUCUGAGAGGAUGAUCAGCCACAUUGGGACUGAGACACGGCCCAAACUCCUACGGGAGGCAGCAGUAGGGAAUAUUGCACAAUGGAGGAAACUCUGAUGCAGCGAUGCCGCGUGAGUGAAGAAGGCCUUUGGGUUGUAAAGCUCUUUCGUCGGGGAAGAAAAUGACUGUACCCGAAUAAGAAGGUCCGGCUAACUUCGUGCCAGCAGCCGCGGUAAUACGAAGGGACCUAGCGUAGUUCGGAAUUACUGGGCUUAAAGAGUUCGUAGGUGGUUAAAAAAGUUGGUGGUGAAAUCCCAGAGCUUAACUCUGGAACUGCCAUCAAAACUUUUUAGCUAGAGUAUGAUAGAGGAAAGCAGAAUUUCUAGUGUAGAGGUGAAAUUCGUAGAUAUUAGAAAGAAUACCAAUUGCGAAGGCAGCUUUCUGGAUCAUUACUGACGCUGAGGAACGAAAGCAUGGGUAGCGAAGAGGAUUAGAUACCCUCGUAGUCCAUGCCGUAAACGAUGUGUGUUAGACGUUGGAAAUUUAUUUUCAGUGUCGCAGCGAAAGCGUUAAACACACCGCCUGGGGAGUACGACC
rnacentral:rRNA from 1 species